rnacentral:rRNA from 1 species
CCCUUAGAUGCCCUGGGCCGCACGCGCGCUACACUGACACACGCAACGAGUUUUGCUUGUCCGAAAGGUCUGGCUAAUCUUUUAAAUGUGUGUCGUGAUAGGGAUAGAUUAUUGCAAUUAUUAAUCUUGAACGAGGAAUUCCUAGUAAACGCAAGUCAUCAGCUUGCAUUGAUUACGUCCCUGCCCUUUGUACACACCGCCCGUCGCUCCUACCGAUUGAAUGAUCCGGUGAGGCCCCCGGAUUGUGGCAAUGGCUCUGGUUCGCCAGACCAAUGCUGCGAGAAGCUGUCCAAACCUUAUCAUCUAGAGGAAGGAGAAGUCGUAACA